rnacentral:lncRNA from 1 species
GAAAUUAGAAAAUACUUUGAAUUAAAUAAAAAUGAAAACAUAGUCCACUUAUGUGGAUUCCAUUCAAGGCAAGCCAGCUUUACUCUUCAGGUCUCUUCAUCACUUUGGAAUCAUUGCAUUAGAAGCCAUUUCAAGAAAGUUUUGUGGGGCUGGGGAUGUGGCUCAAGCGGUAGGGCACUCGCCUGGCAUGCGUGUGGCCCGGGUUCGAUCCUCAGCACCACAUACAAAGAUGUUGUGUCCGCCGAAAACUAAAAAAUAAAUAUUAAAAAAAAAAAAAGUUUUGUGUGAUUUGAUUGUACUAGAUAUUUUUAAAAUUAUAGAGAAUAUUAUUAUUCCUUGUCUGGAAAAUAUAGUCACUUCUCAGAGAAAAAAAGAGGGCAUUAAAAUAAAUCUUUAUAUACAGACAUUCUAAUAAGGAAUGCUUGACUUUCAUUACACACAUUUCAUUGUAGUAGCUGUAACCAUGCUAUAGAAAACAGAACAUGUCCUUUUUAUGCAAGUGACAUUUUCAUUUAAUGUACCAAAUUGUUAAUUUGAUUUUUAUAAUAUAAGUUGAACACAGAUCCUUUCUAAAAUGGCAUUAUCUAAUCUUUACUUAAAUAAUGUCACUUAUAAAUAGAAGAGACUGUACUUAAGUCAAUGUAUACAGCAGAUUUAAAUUGACUAUUAUGUUAAAGUUUGAAAGAAUGAAACAGGUUCCAGUCAUGAGAAGAUGCUUGAAAAACAAUCAAAGUACCCAGUGCAGUGGCUAUAGUCUUAUUUCAUCAUUUGAUUAAUCUUAAGUCAUUUUGGAAGAAUGAAUACUUCAGUUUUACACUGCUUGCACUUUAUUUUGCAUAGAUAUCUCAUUAACUCUUAUUUGAGGGGCAACUCUUCUGAAUAUAGCUUUCAUUUUGAGCAAAAUUUGUCAUGGCAAUAAAUAAAUUAUGCAUUCAAGAAAAACCAAAA